rnacentral:misc_RNA from 1 species
UCUUCUGUAAUGACAGUCACGUGCAAGAAGCAUUGAGUGAAAGUAGUACUUUUCUAGUGAGAAAUAUGGAGUAUGGAAAUGUUGGAUGUGCAGUGGUGAUGCAGUAAGGGGACAAGCAGUUAAUUGUGGGUUCUUGGCUAAUGGAAGUGUCAAUCAGAGGUAUUUGUUUUCUGGUUGCUUCCUCUGUUUCCGUACAACGUCGAGUCAAAUUGCUCCAUGGGACAGUGGUUCAUCCCCGCCUUCUAUGGUUGUAAUUGCUGGAUAAUAUAUUGGACAAUCUAUGGUACCAUCAGAUUGCCUGGUUUUUGUUGGAUGUGAUUGAACUUCCUGCUGCUCCAGCUUGUGAGAUGUAAUCAUUUCAAUAAAGGGAUGUGGAUGGAUGUGGAUGCGGCAGUCGUGGUAUAGGGUUGAAGUUUCUUGGGCUGUCAUUCGUAUUCUUGGGACAAGGCGUUUUUUUUGCUGAACUUGGUCCGAAAAAGGUGACAUCGUUAUCUUCGGUGAAGUGAUCUGUAUCUCUGGAUUUGGUUAUUUGUGCUAUAGUCAGACUUGGUUGGUGUUCCAGUAAUUAUUGGUAAUUGCUUGCUGGUUGCUUUCCUGUUUUCCGUACAACGUUGAGAAUUUUGAAUGGCAACUGGGGGCAGGUACUGUCUGAUUGUCUGGUUUUCGUUGGAUGUGGUUGAAUAUGAUGCUGCGUUAUUUUGGGAGAUGUAACAUUAUUUCAAUAAUGGCCUGUUACGAAGCUGUUCUGCACUACGAUCGCCAUUCCCCGUAGCUCAUACUAGGCAUCAUCCUGUCUCCUGGGUGACGUGAUUCGAAUUCAGCUGAUCAACUCCUCCCCUCCACCAUCAAUAAGUUAUUACCUCUUUCUCCUUGGCUCCUAUAUCCAUGGCACCUUCAGGAAAGGUGAUCUACGCCGUGCAGAGCUGAUUCAAAUAUCACAAGUUUGGUAUUUAACUCAUUGGAUGUCAUUGCCAAGUCUAUUCCUGCUUCUGGUCUGGCCAAGACCUUUGGCAACCAUUGUAACACACCCAGGAAAUAGACUUGACUAGUGAGGAUUUCUUGCACCCAAAAGAAACUGUUCAACAACCUAUUCAACAAGUUUUCCAUCCUAAGAUAAGUGAUUAAUGAGUUAUAUAUUGGUGUUUAAUGUUUAUUUGAACAUUUUAAAUUUUAGGAUGUUUUACUUCGACUUAGGUAAAGGGAGUUAUUGGAUUAUCUGCUCUUCAUGAUGAAACUUUGUUUUGGAGCCCACUGCCAUAGCUGCCAUCCACCUUUACCAGGCAAUGAGCUUGGUUUGAAAAACUGCCUGAAAAAAUCUUAAAUGUGACAAGAAUUUAAUGGACUUUUUCUCUUAGAUGAUCUUCAUUAUUGGUUUCAACCCUGCUGGUAUGUUGAUAAAGGAGUUGGUUCCGAGUGGAAAAUGCAUUGAGUACUGUGUGGUUUUUCCUCCCUUAUUACUUGUGCAUGCAAUGUGAGAAGCUGUUGACCUCUUUGGGGCAUCUCUGGAAGGAGAAUUCCAUCAUCAAGACUAAGGAUUGAGUAUUGUCAUCGCUUUGGCUUUCGAUUAUUUAGUUGGCGUCACCUUUGGCGUCAAUAAAUUGCGUCAAUGCAAGACCGACAUCUUCAACAGUUAUACCCGCAUGUCCUAUGAAUUACCACGUUGGUUGAUGCCUUGAUAAGACACUGUUGAGUAUCCAGUCGGCGUAAAGCCAUAAAUAAGGAGAUUUGUAGUCAGGAGAGUAGUGCUAUUGAAGUAUAGCAUAUCUACUAUAUCUGUGCAGGGAGACGAUAGCAAAGAGAAAAUUAAAAAUAUUGAGGAGAUGGAAGAAUAUGUCCUGCCAAAUAAAUCUAUCCGCCAAUCCACUAAAUGUGGGCUCGUAUUACGUCAGACUUGUUAAAGCAGCAUUCCCUUCUUGCAUCCCAAGAAAGGUUACUAUUGUAUGGGGGGAUUGAAACAUAGGCGUGCUUUAUUUUAACAUCUGUAUUUUAGCUGGAAUGGUGUUCAAUUCUUGCCUCUCAUAUGUUCGGACAUGUUAGUUAUUGAUAGUGUUAGUGAUAAAUUAUUUCUUCCAUUCACAGCAUUUUGCACUUCCGAAUGACAAGCAUGCAACCAAUUUCCAGCAGCAGACAGAGUUAUCAACCAGUUGGAUUGAAAUUGUGUUUCAUGUUGCCGAAAAUAUGUCUUCUCCUGCAACCUCUUUCUAGGAAUGGGACAGGCA